AGGCGUGAUCCACUGAGCCACAAAGGAAAAUAGAGAGGAGAAUAAGAUAGUAAUGAGAGCUCUGCUAUAAAAUCUGGACCGCAACAUGUGGGGCACAUGCAGGAAUGAAAGAAAAGCAAAGAACCGAAGAGAAAACAAAGGAUAUCAACUGUGCUGAGAGCUAAAAGAAGGGAGGCUUUGCCGAAAGAUCGUUGUGUGCUUGCGGACAUAAGACAUAACAGAUCUUAUCUUUGUGCGUAGAGCGAUGAGCACAAAACAUCUGGAUCCCAGCGGGGCCCAAACAUCUGCUAGGAGCCGGCUGGGAGGUGGACGAGGAAGAGGAGCAGGAAGGAUGGGGUGCGCAUCAGGGACGUGAUCCAGACGGGUCUACACAUCCAUAUUUCAUCAUCUAACUGUCCUCACCUCUCCUGUUUUAAUGUAACCUUUCUGUGAUGUUUUUGUUUUUUUCAAUUGUGUCUUGAUGUAAAGUGUUUUUCAAAAACUAAAACUGCUAUACAAAUAAAAAUGUAUAACAAUU